GACGAACGCUGGCGGCGUGCCUAAUACAUGCAAGUCGAACGAACUCUGGUAUUGAUUGGUGCUUGCAUCAUGAUUUACAUUUGAGUGAGUGGCGAACUGGUGAGUAACACGUGGGAAACCUGCCCAGAAGCGGGGGAUAACACCUGGAAACAGAUGCUAAUACCGCAUAACAGCUUGGACCGCAUGGUCCGAGUUUGAAAGAUGGCUUCGGCUAUCACUUUUGGAUGGUCCCGCGGCGUAUUAGCUAGAUGGUGGGGUAACGGCUCACCAUGGCAAUGAUACGUAGCCGACCUGAGAGGGUAAUCGGCCACAUUGGGACUGAGACACGGCCCAAACUCCUACGGGAGGCAGCAGUAGGGAAUCUUCCACAAUGGACGAAAGUCUGAUGGAGCAACGCCGCGUGAGUGAAGAAGGGUUUCGGCUCGUAAAACUCUGUUGUUAAAGAAGAACAUAUCUGAGAGUAACUGUUCAGGUAUUGACGGUAUUUAACCAGAAAGCCACGGCUAACUACGUGCCAGCAGCCGCGGUAAUACGUAGGUGGCAAGCGUUGUCCGGAUUUAUUAGGCGUAAAGCGAGCGCAGGCGGUUUUUUAAGUCUGAUGUGAAAGCCUUCGGCUCAACCGAAGAAGUGCAUCGGAAACUGGGAAACUUGAGUGCAGAAGAGGACAGUGGAACUCCAUGUGUAGCGGUGAAAUGCGUAGAUAUAUGGAAGAACACCAGUGGCGAAGGCGGCUGUCUGGUCUGUAACUGACGCUGAGGCUCGAAAGUAUGGGUAGCAAACAGGAUUAGAUACCCUGGUAGUCCAUACCGUAAACGAUGAAUGCUAAGUGUUGGAGGGUUUCCGCCCUUCAGUGCUGCAGCUAACGCAUUAAGCAUUCCGCCUGGGGAGUACGGCCGCAAGGCUGAAACUCAAAGGAAUUGACGGGGGCCCGCACAAGCGGUGGAGCAUGUGGUUUAAUUCGAAGCUACGCGAAGAACCUUACCAGGUCUUGACAUACUAUGCAAAUCUAAGAGAUUAGACGUUCCCUUCGGGGACAUGGAUACAGGUGGUGCAUGGUUGUCGUCAGCUCGUGUCGUGAGAUGUUGGGUUAAGUCCCGCAACGAGCGCAACCCUUAUUAUCAGUUGCCAGCAUUAAGUUGGGCACUCUGGUGAGACUGCCGGUGACAAACCGGAGGAAGGUGGGGAUGACGUCAAAUCAUCAUGCCCCUUAUGACCUGGGCUACACACGUGCUACAAUGGAUGGUACAACGAGUUGCGAACUCGCGAGAGUAAGCUAAUCUCUUAAAGCCAUUCUCAGUUCGGAUUGUAGGCUGCAACUCGCCUACAUGAAGUCGGAAUCGCUAGUAAUCGCGGAUCAGCAUGCCGCGGUGAAUACGUUCCCGGGCCUUGUACACACCGCCCGUCACACCAUGAGAGCUUGUAACACCCAAAGUCGGUGGGGUAACCUUGUAGGAACCAGCCGCCUAAGGUGGGACAGAUGAUUAGGGUG
rnacentral:rRNA from 1 species